rnacentral:rRNA from 1 species
UACGAAGGGGGCUAGCGUUGCUCGGAAUGACUGGGCGUAAAGGGCGCGUAGGCGGAUGGCACAGUCAGAUGUGAAAUUCCCGGGCUUAACCUGGGGGCUGCAUUUGAUACGUGUUGUCUAGAGUGAGGAAGAGGGUUGUGGAAUUCCCAGUGUAGAGGUGAAAUUCGUAGAUAUUGGGAAGAACACCGGUGGCGAAGGCGGCAACCUGGUCCUUGACUGACGGCUGAGGCGCGAAAGCGUGGGGAGCGAACAGG